AGCAGAUCGAAGCUUGCUUUGAUGCUGGCGACCGGCGAAUGGGUGAGUCACGCGUGUCCAACCUGCCCUGUGCCCGGGGAUAGCCCUUGGAAAUGAGGAUUAACACCCGAUAGGUGGCGCUUCCGCAUGGCGGCGCCAUGAAACCGACACAGGAUGGGGACGCGUCGGAUUAGCUUGACGGCGGGGCGACGGCCCACCGUGGCGACGAUCCGCAGGGGUUCUGAGAGGAAGGUCCCCCACACUGGCACUGAGACACGGGCCAGACUCCUACGGGAGGCAGCAGUGAGGAAUAUUGGUCAAUGGCCGAGAGGCUGAACCAGCCAAGUAAGCGUGCAGGACGACGGCCCUACGGGUUGUAAACUGCUUUUGCGGGAGGAUAAAGGACGCCACGUGUGGCGUUUUGCAGGUAUCCCGUGAAUAAGGACCGGCUAAUUCCGUGCCAGCAGCGGC
rnacentral:rRNA from 1 species